rnacentral:rRNA from 1 species
GUCGAGAAUCUUUCACAAUGGGGGCAACCCUGAUGGAGCGACGCCGCGUGGAGGAUAAGGUCUUCGGAUUGUAAACUCCUGUCAUGCGUGAACAAGGUUGCUUGGUUAAUACCUGGGCAAAUUGAUGGUAACGCAAGAGGAAGAGACGGCUAACUCUGUGCCAGCAGCCGCGGUAAUACAGAGGUCUCAAGCGUUGUUCGGAAUCACUGGGCGUAAAGGGUGCGUAGGUGGCGUGGCAAGUCAGAUGUGAAAGCCCGGGGCUCAACCUCGGAACUGCAUCCGAUACUGCCAUGCUAGAGUACUGGAGGGGUGACUAGAAUUCUCGGUGUAGCAGUGAAAUGCGUAGAUAUCGAGAGGAAUACCAAAGGCGUAGGCAGGUCACUGGACAGUUACUGACACUGAGGCACGAAGGCCAGGGGAGCGAACGGGAUUAGAAACCCUUGUAGUCC